rnacentral:rRNA from 1 species
AAGACCUUGCGCUUUUGGAGCGGCCGAMGCCUGAUUAGCUUGUUGGUAAGGUAAAAGCUUACCAAGGCUUCGAUCAGUAGCUGGUCUGAGAGGACGGCCAGCCACACUGGGACUGAGACACGGCCCAGACUCCUACGGGAGGCAGCAGUGGGGAAUUUUGGACAAUGGGGGCAACCCUGAUCCAGCCAUGCCGCGUGAGUGAAGAAGGCCUUCGGGUUGUAAAGCUCUUUCAGCCGGAACGAAACGGUUACGGUUAAUACCCGUGACUACUGACGGUACCGGAAGAAGAAGCACCGGCUAACUACGUGCCAGCAGCCGCGGUAAUACGUAGGGUGCAAGCGUUAAUCGGAAUUACUGGGCGUAAAGCGUGCGCAGGUGGUUUUGUAAGUCAGAUGUGAAAUCCCCGGGCUUAACCUGGGAACU